AAUCUGCUGUACAUGCAGGGAGAGAUUACUCAGCUGUCACUCUGCAGAAAACAUCCCUAUCAUGCAGCAGGAGGUAUCCGUAACAAAUUGCUGACAUCCAAAUUCAGCCCUGCACAAAUGGAUGUGUAAGAUGCCUGCUGCUCCCCACGUUGAAACCAGACCAUGGAGGAUCAGAGGCAUUGACACAGCAGAAGGAAAUGAGCAGAAAAUGACCCAAGUAGAGCAGGUGCCAUUAGAAAAUAAUUAUUUCUGAGCUGCUGUUCUCUGUUCACAAAUAUUUCCCCUUUUCAGCACAAAUGCAGUGGCCCGAGAAAGGAUUUUUGUGGGUCAGUUGGAUGUGUUCCCUGCUUCAUACUGAGGCUCUGAGAUGGACCCGAGAUUUACACUUCAAUUUCUGGGAACAGAAAGUAAUCAGAAGUUUUUCCAGCUAUCUAAAGCACAGACCCACGGAACCAAUUUUAAUUAGAAAGCCUAGUGGGAAAAGCUCUGCAGGAGCUCCAGUCACAGUUGGCCGGGCCCCUGGCUGGGUGAGCUGGGACCUGGCUGAGGGCAGGACCUGCUUGCAAGGAGAGGCUGCCAAGAUUGUGCUGAGAGGUCUGUUUUGGAGGCUCUGCUCUUACCCAGGCUGUGCUUCAGCCAGGAAAUGAAAGGUGUCUCAACCAGAAAAGCUUAAGUUCAGAGAAAUACCAAAUGGGGGAGAACCUCCCAAGCGGUUAAAUACUGGUUUUUGACAAAUUUUUUACAAACUCAAAAAGCCUUUAAAAGGAAUAUUUUCUUUUUUAAACCUUCCAACCCAGUUUAUUUGAUUUAAAAAAAAAAAAGAGGUGUGAAUUCUUGAUGUGAAAUUCAGGCUCAGAAGUGGCACAAGGAUAAACUGCACCUAGAGGCACUGGGCCCCGCUGUCACCCAGGCAGGAUGGGGGAGACACAUCACACCUUGCUCCAACCUCUGUGAAGGUGAACUUCGGUCCAUCGCUCGUGUUAUUGGUGAUAAAAGAAAUGUGCUGCUGGAGGAGGUGUAAGAGGAAUUCACAGACUUUCCUUAGGCACUGUGAAAUAGCUCAGUAACCUUGGUGUGAACGUACAAUCCGUCAUUCGGUUUUUCAAAAUGCAACAUGCAAAAAGACCCAGAGGAUGCAAUAUGAACCUCACUGAGGUGGACAUUGGGUUAUGUUCUGCCUUAUACCUGCAAGAACACAAAAAUUAAUAAUAUUAGGCGCAACUCUGCCUUCCUGUGCUGUUUCUCCUUCUGCCAGGCAGAAACAGCACCAAGAAGUGGCAGCAGAUUUCAGGAAAAAAAAAUACACUUUCUGGUUUUCUUCAACAAUUAAAAUUAAAGCAAAUUUUACCAAAAUGUA